rnacentral:miRNA from 8 species
CCUUACCAUUUCUUUGUCCGGU